CGUUGCUCGAGUUCGGUGUCCCUUCGCCGCGUGCUCGAAGCGGAGCCCGUUUUGAAUCGUACCCAGUUGUGUCAUGAUUCCACUACAGCCAGAUCUCGACACUGCAUUAAUGACUUCAGAGUGGAUUAUCUCGCAUUGGCAUGUAACAAAUGAUUGUCCAGGCCAUCCAAAUGGGCAAAUGGUUGAUGUUGCAGAGACUUGUUAAAAAAGGGCAAGAUUUAAUUUCAUGUAAAUGGAUUACACCUGGAAAUGGUAUUUCUGAUGCAUAGGUAAAUCCGAAGAGAGCACUUCCUUAUGUUUGCCCCCCUACAGCUCUCCUUCCUCGUGGCCUCAGGGGCAGGGUGGAAAAGGCUCUGCUUUCUCAUUCUGCUUUGGAUGUGGCAUUGGCUGCUACAGCCAUGUCCUUGCAAACAUACGCUGCUUCAAACAAGAAAAAUCUAUUACGUAAAAGAGGGUUGACUGGGGUCCUCAGGAGGAUGGCUUAGUUUAAGUGGUACUCUGAAAACAGAGUUCUCUUUGCAGAACUUCUGCAUGACAAAUUGCCUUCAGUCGGAUGUUCACUGUUGCAUGGUCUGCUGUACUCUAGACUGAACUUCAUUUUCGCAAAUGGCCUGUUACUGUUACAGAAAUAUUUUGUGAACUGAGUGCAGCAACACAUAGCAAGGCCCCAGUUCCACAGCAGUACACAGUUAGACAUAACUUUGUAUAUGCUAGUAGUUUAUGGUCUUUCUUAUUUGUCUAUGGGAGGUAUAGAUUCACUUGAGGGGAGAAGAGUGUCCCCUGCAUUAUCC
rnacentral:lncRNA from 1 species